rnacentral:misc_RNA from 1 species
AAGUCGUAACAAGGUUUCCGUAGCCUGCGGAAGGAUCAUUAACACGUAUCCAACGUUAAAACCCCCGUGAACUUUCAGCUUGCUCCUGUAGCCCGUGAAACAGCAAUCCCUGGUAAAUCAUUGUUGACGAGCUUUUGAGAGCGAUUGCAUCUAGUGAUGUUCGGUUUUUGGUGCCGUGCGAAUUUCACGCGCGGCCAAUUCGUACUGUGUUGUCGUAAAGGGGCAGAGCCCGGUGACCCGGUCGCCGGCCGUGUGGGCCUACAGCGAUCGUGACUGCGCCAUCCUUACAUAAUCAAUGACACUUAGACACUGAUUACUUGGGUAUGCCAGGUCAAUGGAUAUCUUGGUUCUC